rnacentral:rRNA from 1 species
UGCCGGCGACCGGCGGACGGGUGCGUAACGCGUAUGUAACCUACCUUUGACAGGGGGAUAACAUCGAGAAAUUGGUACUAAUACCCCAUAACAUCACCGGAGGCAUCUUCGGUGGUUGAAAACUCAGGUGGUCAGAGAUGGACAUGCGUUGUAUUAGCUAGUUGGUGAGGUAACGGCUCACCAAGGCGACGGUACAUAGGGGGACUGAGAGGUCAACCCCCCACAUUGGUACUGAGACACGGACCAAACUCCUACGGAAGGCAGCAG